rfam:Ilyobacter polytropus DSM 2926, complete genome.
CUGUAAAGGCAUGUUGAGCCGUAGGGCCACGACCUGAUUUUUCAGGGCAUGCCGAAGAA